rnacentral:lncRNA from 1 species
GUCUCUCUCCGCACAGAUCGGAUGCCGGCUUGAUCCGCUCCCUUCGCACCGUGCCGGCGGGAUUGCGCCCGGAUAAAGUCAGCUCGGGGGAAGGCAAGAGCACGGUUCAUACACUCCCGGCCGCAGCCAUGAGCAGGGGAAAUGCUGGCCUCGGUGGUGAAAGAUUAUUUCACAUGAGCAGCACUCUUCGGGAAAGCUGUUGCCAGAUAAGGUGGCGACUGUACUUUGAAGAGGAACAAUGAGAAGUGACAGACAAGACCGUGUUUACCAAACUGAAUAGAGGACUCGCAGGUUUCCACUCACUGCUCGGUUACCUAAGCCCAGGGAAUCAAGGCUGGAGUGCUGUUUCACCAAGCCGGAUCAGUAACAAAGUGACUUCAUUCUCUGUUUUCAACCAGAGAAUAUGCGGGUGCUAUGUAUUUAUGAAGUGCUGGGCUGAUUCCUGUGAGAGGAUGUGCAGUGUCCCUUUUCCUUUGCCAGGCAGACCAGAGAACAUUUGCCCAUACUUCACGAGAACUGGACUGCACAUCCACUGUACCCAGACUUGUUUUAGAGUGAGCACUUUCAGUAUCACGACAUAAUUUCCAGGGCAGCAGCUGGCAGCAGCAUCAUUAUUAACUACCUUCAAGGACACAGUGUGCAGAUAGACUGGAACUAACUUCUGGGGCUUCACUUAGGACGCAGGUUGACUGUCGCUGAAUGAGAGAUUUUGAAGAAAUUAACCUUAGCAAAGAUGCAAAAGGAGAAGAAAGGCAAUGGUAAAGUCCAAAGUGGUAUUAUUCUAGAGACAAAAAGAGACUUCAAAAAUUUUUGAAGAGUGUUUUGAAAUAAUUUUACCCACUAAUACUAUAAUAAAGCAGCCAGAGAUACAAUGGUACCA